rnacentral:rRNA from 1 species
CUUAUGCGUUGUUGGGUAGGGGAGCGUUCUGUAAGCCUGCGAAGGUGGCCUGUGAGGGUUGCUGGAGGUAUCAGAAGUGCGAAUGCUGACAUAAGUAACGAUAAAGCGGGUGAAAAGCCCGCUCGCCGGAAGACCAAGGGUUCCUGUCCAACGUUAAUCGGGGCAGGGUGAGUCGACCCCUAAGGCGAGGCCGAAAGGCGUAGUCGAUGGGAAACGGGUUAAUAUUCCCGUACUUGGUGUUACUGCGAAGGGGGGACGGAGAAGGCUAUGUUGGCCGGGCGACGGUUGUCCCGGUUUAAGCGUGUAGGCUGGUUUUCCAGGCAAAUCCGGAAAAUCAAGGCUGAGGCGUGAUGACGAGGCACUACGGUGCUGAAGCAACAAAUGCCCUGCUUCCAGGAAAAGCCUCUAAGCAUCAGGUAACAUCAAAUCGUACCCCAAACCGACACAGGUGGUCAGGUAGAGAAUACCAAGGCGCUUGAGAGAACUCGGGUGAAGGAACUAGGCAAAAUGGUGCCGUAACUUCGGGAGAAGGCACGCUGACACGUAGGUGAAGUGAUUUACUCAUGGAGCUGAAGUCAGUCGAAGAUACCAGCUGGCUGCAACUGUUUAUUAAAAACACAGCACUGUGCAAACACGAAAGUGGACGUAUACGGUGUGACGCCUGCCCGGUGCCGGAAGGUUAAUUGAUGGGGUCAGCGCAAGCGAAGCUCCUGAUCGAAGCCCCGGUAAACGGCGGCCGUAACUAUAACGGUCCUAAGGUAGCGAAAUUCCUUGUCGGGUAAGUUCCGACCUGCACGAAUGGCGUAAUGAUGGCCAGGCUGUCUCCACCCGAGACUCAGUGAAAUUGAACUCGCUGUGAAGAUGCAGUGUACCCGCGGCAAGACGGAAAGACCCCGUGAACCUUUACUAUAGCUUGACACUGAACAUUGAGCCUUGAUGUGUAGGAUAGGUGGGAGGCUUUGAAGUGUGGACGCCAGUCUGCAUGGAGCCGACCUUGAAAUACCACCCUUUAAUGUUUGAUGUUCUAACGUGGACCCGUUACCCGGGUUGCGGACAGUGUCUGGUGGGUAGUUUGACUGGGGCGGUCUCCUCCUAAAGAGUAACGGAGGAGCACGAAGGUUGGCUAAUCCUGGUCGGACAUCAGGAGGUUAGUGCAAUGGCAUAAGCCAGCUUGACUGCGAGCGUGACGGCGCGAGCAGGUGCGAAAGCAGGUCAUAGUGAUCCGGUGGUUCUGAAUGGAAGGGCCAUCGCUCAACGGAUAAAAGGUACUCCGGGGAUAACAGGCUGAUACCGCCCAAGAGUUCAUAUCGACGGCGGUGUUUGGCACCUCGAUGUCGGCUCAUCACAUCCUGGGGCUGAAGUAGGUCCCAAGGGUAUGGCUGUUCGCCAUUUAAAGUGGUACGCGAGCUGGGUUUAGAACGUCGUGAGACAGUUCGGUCCCUAUCUGCCGUGGGCGCUGGAGAACUGAGGGGGGCUGCUCCUAGUACGAGAGGACCGGAGUGGACGCAUCACUGGUGUUCGGGUUGUCAUGCCAAUGGCACUGCCCGGUAGCUAAAUGCGGAAGAGAUAAGUGCUGAAAGCAUCUAAGCACGAAACUUGCCCCGAGAUGAGUUCUCCCUGAGACUUAAAGUCUCCUGAAGGAACGUUGAAGACGACGACGUUGAUAG